rnacentral:rRNA from 1 species
UGCGCAGGCGGGGAAAUAAGUCAGUGGUGAAAUCUUCCGGCUCAACCGGGAACCUGCCAUUGAUACUGUUAGUCUUGAGUUCGGCUGAGGUAGGCGGAAUGUGUAAUGUAGCGGUGAAAUGCUUAGAUAUUACACAGAACACCAAUUGCGUAGGCAGCUUACUAGACCGACACUGACGCUGAGGCACGAAAGCGUGGGGAGCGAACAGGAUUAGAUACCCUGGUAGUCC